AUCCUUUUGUAGUUCAAAAGCAUGAUGAUUGGGUUUUCACGUUCUUUCUGCGUGAUAUGUGUCUCCCUUUAAUUUUGUUACGACGUUGGCACAUUACCCGUCUGACU